rnacentral:rRNA from 1 species
CCUACGGGGGGCUGCAGUGGGGAAUAUUGCACAAUGGGCGCAAGCCUGAUGCAGCCAUGCCGCGUGUGUGAAGAAGGCCCUCGGGUUGUAAAGCACUUUCAGCGGGGAGGAAGGCGGUGAGGUUAAUAACCUCAUCGAUUGACGUUACCCGCAGAAGAAGCACCGGCUAACUCCGUGCCAGCAGCCGCGGUAAUACGGAGGGUGCAAGCGUUAAUCGGAAUUACUGGGCGUAAAGCGCACGCAGGCGGUCUGUCAAGUCGGAUGUGAAAUCCCCGGGCUCAACCUGGGAACUGCAUUCGAAACUGGCAGGCUAGAGUCUUGUAGAGGGGGGUAGAAUUCCAGGUGUAGCGGUGAAAUGCGUAGAGAUCUGGAGGAAUACCGGUGGCGAAGGCGGCCCCCUGGACAAAGACUGACGCUCAGGUGCGAAAGCGUGGGGAGCAAACAGGAUUAGAUACCCCAGUAGUC